rnacentral:snRNA from 1 species
GUGAUGGUUUCAGUAGUACAAAUAGGAAAUUGCAAGUAUACCGGCAAUAUUAGCAUGGUCUGUAUGCAAGCAUGAAACAUAAAUUCUUGAAGCGUUCCAUAUUUUA